rnacentral:rRNA from 1 species
AUUGAACGCUGGCGGCAUGCUUUAUACAUGCAAGUCGUGCGGCAGCGCGGGGGCAACUCUGGCGGCGAGCGGCGAACGGGUGAGUAAUACAUAGGAACGUAUCCUGAAAUGGGGGAUAGCUCGGCGAAAGCCGGAUUAAUACCGCAUACGCUCCACGGAGGAAAGCAGGGGAUCGCAAGCCUUGCGUUUCUGGAGCGGCCUAUGUCUGAUUAGCUAGUGGCGGGGUAAUAGCCCACCAAGGCGACGAUCAGUAGCUGGUCUGAGAGGAUGAUCAGCCACACUGGGACUGAGACACGGCCCAGACUCCUACGGGAGGCAGCAGUAGGGAAUUUUGGACAAUGGGGCAACCCUGAUCCAGCCAUGCCGCGUGAGUGAAGAA